ensembl:ncRNA ZC412.14 ncRNA
AAAUAGUAGAUGCUCCACUCUCGUGUAUGUAUGCUCACUGCCUUAUUCUUCUCCUUGCUCCUCCCAAAUUACGUUUCAUGAUGGAGAUGAUGAUGGUGGUGAUGAUGAUGGGCCCUGAGCACACAUACAUGGAUAGAUACUCACAC